AAAAAGAAAGAUAUUUUACAAAACCCUAACAAGAGGAGGAAGGAUGCGGAAGCUUGAAGCUGAAGAAGAAGUCAGUUUGGGGCAAUCCUUGUGUUCAGAUCUAGAAGGCAAGGGGAAGACAAUGAUCCUAACGUACAGGAAGACCAUCAUAAUCCCUCGUCUCGUUGGUUUGAUUGCAUGGAAGAUGUCCUUCAGUCGUUCCCGACGCUGAUGUCUUGAUCUCUCGUUGGUCCCGUUGUAGUGGGAAGAGGAGGAAAGGUUCUCGUUAGAGGCGUUCUAUGAGGAAGCAAGGAAGACGGUCUCAAGAGGAUUGCUGUGUAUAAACUUGAGAUUAGAAGAGGAAGCCAUCGCCGCAUGGUCUGGAGGUAGAGGGAAGACAAUUCUGAUGCAAAUGAAGGGAUCAUGCCACCUCACCUCAUCGUUGACACAGAGGGAACACGAUCAUUCGAUUCUUGAUGGAGAGAUGAACUUCGCCGGAACCUCAUCGAAGUCACUGAUCCCAGAGCAUCUUGUGUGUUUCCAGACUCCGCAGCUAUCGCACGUCAGCAUCCUCUCGCCGUCAUCGUCUUUGGAUCCGCAGGCACAGUCUACCGUCCAAGUCUCUGUCCCUCUUUCCAUCCGGAACUGCUCGAACACACAUCCAUCUCCCAAGCGUCCCUCUACUCUGAUCAAAUCGUCCGAGCCAAGCAAGAAAUUAACCAGCAUGUCAUCGUGGGCAACCUCGCCAUCCACUACAACUUGCACUGCUCGGAACGAUUGCAAGAUCAAGUAUGCCUCCUUGAAAGCCUUCGUCGCCUCAUACUUGAGGUCCGCAACUGUGGCAUGGAGGGGCAGGAUCAGCAGUUCUGGAGGGGGCCGUACGUAGUCCUUCGGCCUGUCGACUAGCUCCACGUGGCACCAUACGUGCAGCGCUAACGGGUUUGGAUUUGCCACAUCCUUCGCUCUGUCGUAGUGCUUCACGAAUUGCUUGCAGUCAAGGAUCGUGGCUGCUAACCUUCGGGGCGACUCCAGCUGCAUUUUGGCAGGAUUGAGAAGGGUGUCGUACAGCAAUCUGAGAUCACGGAUGAGGUUUUCCCUGGAUGGUCUGCAGCGGCACUGGGCAGGCGAAGCUACGUCAGAAGCAGCCGCAGGUUCAAGUCUGAAGGGGCAAAGAACCGACAAUGUCAGCCUCUGAUCACACCGAAAGUGAAGGGUUAAAAAUGGUGUUACCUGUACUCCACCGAGUUCGUCUUGGAGUUGCAUCUGACUGUGAUGAUGGAACCAUCAGCAACUCGUCUAUUGCCGAGUCGCUUGAGGCAGUAAUCAAGCAGCUCAAUAGAACCUACAGAUCGAAAGGUUGCUCGUUGGAGAGCCCGCUGCGUGACCCACUGCAACUUGUUGACAGCACAGAGAAUCUUAACGACGGCAUCCUCUGCCCUUGCGAUGUCUGUCUCUCUCCAUCGGCACUGUGGAAGUAGCUCUGUUUGGUUCUUCUCCCCAUGGCCAUGGGUGUCUUCGAGUAGCUUGAAGAUGAAAGAGAAAAGGUCAUGCAAUGUCUCUAGCCUUCGAGGGGAAAGGAACGUGUACAGGGCAACUGUCUUCUCCAACUGGGUGCCAAGUUCUUGGCCACGGGAGGAGUGCAGGGGUGAGAGUGGCUUGGCAGAGAGGGUCUUCAAUGCGCUUUGGUAUGUUUCAGCUGUGUGCGCAAAGCUGCCUGCGCCAAACUCAUAACCCCAAUUUCCAUACCAGGAACGGCCGGUGGCGACUCCAUGGAUGAGUCGGUACUCCAUUCCAUACUUCUUCGACACAUCCAUCACAGACACCUUUCUGUCCAUGACAGAAAAUUUUCUAUCAUCAGUUCAUGUUUCCACUUUCUACGGUAACAUGAAUGAAGCUGUUAUUCGUACGUACACACAGCCCCAAUUCUAAAAUGAAUAAGUGGUGUUACAACUUGCAGGUGGCUACAUUACUUGUAACUAAUGUGAGAGAAAAAAAUAUGACAUUUAUUAGGCCGUGCGAGCUGUAGAUAAAUGCCCAAAUACAAAGAACUCGCACGUUAGAUUGUUGAAUUUAGUUGCAGCAUUUUACAGCAAGCAAAUUAUACUGGAUCUGGAUAUUAGAAAUCAACAUUUAAUAUUGUUAUAUACCGAAGAUUGGUGGUGCUGCAGAUCAGAAUUGUGACCAUAUUCUACUUGGCG